GUUCUCUCGAGUGUAUGCGUGUAUGUAUCGUUUAUAAAGUGGGGCUGGAAGAUAAUGUCAGUGGUCAAAUGAAUCAGGUUCGAGAUGCCUGUGAGAGCUUCCAGGUGAUGACAACACUUCUGGUCCAUGGAUCACGGUGCGAAGAGAGAGUCCUUGGAUGAUCUGGCCAUCCCUUGCCUGGCGUUUGAUGCCACUGAGAUGGAAGGAGGAGGCCUGGAGGCCUGCAGGAGCCAGCGUGGAGUUUGACAGAAUACAUGAUGUCACGUGCCGCCCACUGCAGGCGAGGGCCCAAGGAUUAUAAUCCCAGUGUCUGCACCCAGCCUGGCAGCUGCCCUUCGUGUCCGAGUCUUUGCAGCAGCUCACACGUGUGACGCAUACUUCUGGCAUGCGGUGUAUUCACGCCCACAGAUCCCUCACAGGAGCCUUUUGAAGCCAUCUAUCCACUUCCAGAGACUUGACUUAAUGAGAAGUGGACAGUUGCAAAUCCAGGGGCCUGGGAAAAGCCGAACUACCAUGCACUGAAACCCCAGUGGGAGAGGUGCUGCUGUGAACCCCUCCAUGCCGUGGCCACCUGACCCCGGACAGCCUAGAGGUCAGUUUGUAAACUAAACAUUUGUCAGGCUUCAUUUCUUUCCUGAUUUUUGCAUAAAGAUAUUAAUAAAAAUUCUAAUACUGUCUUCCUGCACUCAGAUGAAUCCGCUUUCCAGCCCCCUGGGGUCAACCCCUCCUCACCCCCAAUUAUAGUCUGUGUUUUUGCUCUUUCAAUGUGUAGUAGCAUUUCUUCUAUGGUUUUCCAGAGUUCUUAACACAUGAUUCAGCCAUUUUUACGCAGAUUAAAUCUUCAGUUGAGCAAAUAAACAUUUAAAAAUACCCACAGAUAAUUAUUUGAUUAAAUAAAUACACGUUCAGAAACACAAACAGUUCUCAAAAACACUUUUAUGUGAGGUAUUAAGUUCAAAAUAGGUGAUC